rnacentral:tRNA from 1 species
GUUUUAAUAAUUUAAUAAAAAUACUGGUCUUGUAAACCAGAAAUGAGUUGUCAACUCUUAAAUCA